GACGAACCGUGCGAACGUUGUUCGGAAUCACUGGGCUUAAAGGGCGCGUAGGCGGCAGGUCAAGUCCGGGGUGAAAGCCCCCAGCACAACUGGGGAAGUGCCUUGGAUACUGGCGUGCUCGAGGGAGGUAGGGGCCCGCGGAACUUCUGGUGGAGCGGUGAAAUGCGUUGAUAUCAGAAGGAACGCCGGUGGCGAAAGCGGCGGGCUGGACCUUUUCUGACGCUGAGGCGCGAAAGCCAGGGGAGCAAACGGG
rnacentral:rRNA from 1 species